UACGGGGGGAGCAAGCGUUAUCCGGAAUUAUUGGGCGUAAAGAGCUCGUAGGCGGUUUGUCGCGUCUGCCGUGAAAGUCCGGGGCUCAACUCCGGAUCUGCGGUGGGUACGGGCAGACUAGAGUGAUGUAGGGGAGACUGGAAUUCCUGGUGUAGCGGUGAAAUGCGCAGAUAUCAGGAGGAACACCGAUGGCGAAGGCAGGUCUCUGGGCAUUAACUGACGCUGAGGAGCGAAAGCAUGGGGAGCGAACAGG
rnacentral:rRNA from 1 species